rnacentral:rRNA from 1 species
AUUGAACGCUGGCGGCAGGCCUAACACAUGCAAGUCGAACGGUAGCACAGAGAGCUUGCUCUCGGGUGACGAGUGGCGGACGGGUGAGUAAUGUCUGGGAAACUGCCCGAUGGAGGGGGAUAACUACUGGAAACGGUAGCUAAUACCGCAUAACGUCGCAAGCCCAAAGUGGGGGACCUUCGGGCCUCACACCAUCGGAUGUGCCCAGCUGGGAUUAGCUAGUAGGUGGGGUAAUGGCUCACCUAGGCGACGAUCCCUAGCUGGUCUGAGAGGAUGACCAGCCACACUGGAACUGAGACACGGUCCAGACUCCUACGGGAGGCAGCAGUGGGGAAUAUUGCACAAUGGGCGCAAGCCUGAUGCAGCCAUGCCGCGUGUAUGAAGAAGGCCUUCGGGUUGUAAAGUACUUUCAGCGGGGAGGAAGGCGGUGAAGUUAAUAACUUCACCGAUUGACGUUACCCGCAGAAGAAGCACCGGCUAACUCCGUGCCAGCCGCCGCAGUAAUAC